rnacentral:lncRNA from 1 species
GUUGGCUCCUUAAAUAUUAGGCUCUGCUGUUAGAGGAUUCCACAAUCCAGUUAAAAACUUGUUCUCAUCUAAACCCAGCCACUUUCCUUGGGGAAACUGAACAUGACUCUGAACAAGUUAUAAUACAGACCUAUGCAGCCAGGGAAGAUCUCAGGGAAACUCCCCUAGAAAAUCCAGAUUGGACCCUCUUCAAAGAUGGGAGCUACUUUGUAGAGCAAGGGAUCCAUAAAGCAUGAUAUGCAGUAGUCACUCUAAGUGACAUCAUUGAAAGUCUCUCUCUCUCCAGGCACAAGCACUCAAUUAGCUGCACUGAUAGCUCUUACAAGAGUGCUUGAAUUAAGCAAUUGAAAGGUAGCUAGCAUUUACAGUAAUUUGAAGUAUGCUUUCUUAGUUCUCCAUGCUCAUGCUGUCAUUUGGAAAGAAAGCCAUUUUUUCUUACAGCUAAUGCAUCUCCCAAAAUUACUGGUUAUUAUCCUCAACUUUUCCUUCCAUGAGAAAUAGCAGGAAUGCAUUGAAAGGGACAUCAAAGACAACCGAUAAAGCAGACAAAGAAAAUACGUUUGCUGAUCAGGCAGCUAAGUCAGUGGCAAGGAAGCCUCAGCGCAUCAACAUACUUCAAGCCCCCCUAAUUUGGAAAGGCUCCAUAAGAGAAAUUAAACCUCAGUACUCCCCUGCAGAAAUAGGAUGCAUCACUUCUUGAGGAUAUACUUUCCAGCCCUCAGAACAGCUACAGUCAGAAGAUGGCAAACUCCACUUGCCAGCCUCCAGCCAAUGGAAAGUUUUUAAAUCCACCAGGCAUUUGAUUUAGGAAAGAGUAAAACUUACCAGUGUGCCCAAAAAUUUUCAAGAAAGAAUUUAUUAAGAACAGUCAAACAGGUUGUUAAUGCUUGUGAAGGCAGCAGCUUUCUCCUCAAACCCAAAGGAUGGGAAGCUUUCCAGGGGAGGUCUGGCAGAUAGACUUCACCCACAUGCCAAAGGUGAAGGGCAUUCAACACCACCUGGCAUGGAUAGAUACUUUCACUAACUGCAUAGAAACCUUUCCACCCCAUACAGAAAAGGCCUCCGAGGUAAUAAAGCUGUUUUUCUGUUUUGUUUUUGUUUUUUUUAAGACGUAGUUUCACUCUUGUUGCCCAGGCUGGAGUGCAAUGGUGCGAUCUCGGCUCACCGCAACUUCUGCCUCCCAGGUUCAAGCGAUUCUUCUUCAGCCCCCCGAGUAGCUGGGAUUACAGGCAUGUGCCACCAUGCCCAGCUAAUUUUGUAUUUUUAGUAGAGAUGGGGUUUCUCCAUGUUGGUCAAGCUGGCCUUUAACUCCCAGCUCCAAACUCUGGAGAUUUGGAAUUGGUGAAGGCUCUCCCUUCUCUCUCUUUGUCCUGAGCCCAAGCUGGGAAGGGCCCCACACUGUUUUUCUUUCAGCCCCCUCAGUGGUAAAAGUUACAGGUGUCAACUACUGGAUUUAUCACACUGGAGUCAAAGCCUGGAAAGCUGUGGGAGCAACCCCUGACAGCCCAGAGGAACAUCCUGAAUAUCAAUGUGAAGAAAUAAGAUAUCUGAAGCUACAAAUCAUAAAAGAUAAAAGCAAACUCCAAAUGGUGCUGCAGACAGAACCACCUACGGACACACCUUUCUUCUGAGGACCCAUAGAUCGACCCCAGGAGGAGCCCUAAGUGCUGUUCCCAGCACAACACUUCUUUUCAGCGGGAAGUAGCCAGAAAGAGUCGUCGUUUAACACCCCCUAAUGGCAGUUAGGGAUACCACUCUUGAGGAAUGUGUCACUAGUAGACAUAGUUAUAAAGACUUGCUAAAGGAAGUUUUUAAUAGACAAUCCCCAUUUGAGUUUUAUAUGUCAUACUUGAUACUUGAAACAAAAAUUAUAACAGCACUUGAUAUUCAAAGCAAUUAUAUUUAAAAGUGUAAAAAAUAAAAGGACUUAAAUGGGAGUAAUAUUUCCAUACUUCAAAGUCAUAUAUCAGUAGAAUGAGAUAUAUUGUAAUAUCCACAGCGACUACUACAAAAACUACAUACUUAAAGUGUGUACCUCUCUAAAAACACCAUAAGUAAAUCAAAAUGAAUUUUUUUUUUAAAAUGUUUAACCUACAGGAAGGCAAAAAAACAACAACAAAGAAACAGGAACAAAACCAGAGGAAGCAAACAGAAAAUAAUAAAAUAGCAUACUUAAGCUCUAAGGUAUCAAGAAUUGCCUUAAGUGUAAAUAAUAUGCAUACAGUGAUCAAAAGGCAGAGAUUGACAGUGUGUUAAGUAUGAGUAGUGGGGAGAAACAAAGAUUAUUUUAGAAAAUGACCUAACUAAAUUCUGUCUACAAAAACUCACUUCAAAUUCAAUGACAGGUAGGUCGAAAGUAAAAGAGUGAAAAAUGUAUAUUAUGCAAACAAUAAUCAAAAGAAAGCAGGAGUGGGUGUAUUAAAACUGGAAAAGGUGGCCAGGCGCGGUGGCUUACGCCUAUAAUCCCAGCACUUUAGGAGGCCAAGGUGGGUGGAUUGCCUGAGCUCAGGAGUUCACAACCGGCCUGGGCAACAUGGUGAAACCCCAUCUCUACUAAAAGACAAAAAAUUAGCUGGGCAUGGCAGUGUGCACCUGUAGUCCCAGCUACUCAGGAGACUGAGGCAGGAGAAUUGCUAGAACCUGGGAGGCGGAGGUUGCAGUGAGCUGAGAUCGCCGCACUGCACUCCAUUCUGGGCAACAGAGUGAGACUUGUCUCAAAAGAAAAAAAAUAAACUGGAAAAGGUAAACUUAUAAAGCAAAUAAAAUUACCAGAGACAGAAAGGAACAUUAAUUACAGAAAUCUGGGGCUGCCUGAGGGCCAUUAGCACAUGUGCUUAAGAAUAAAAAAGUCUACUUUAAGCUCAGAGCAGAGAAAGAUAUCCCUUCACAAAGUAGUGAGUCCAGCACUUUAUCUCUUGGUAAGAACAUGUUCCAGGCUCAAGACACAUUAUUUGGCAAAGCAGAGGUCCAAAGACUGCCUGCACAAAGUGCCUUUCCCAAUGAUAUCUAUAUACAAAAACAUGAACCAAACCAAAACAAUUUAGAGCUGACCUCACACAUGACACAACAUACAUGCCAGUGAAUCAAAGGGCUGUUGAAAUCAAAAUAAAGAUGUAGAGCUGAAUCUCUAAAUUUAAUGUUAAGAAAGAAUUGCAAUUUGAAGCAUACGUAUAGAUUGGGUGGUCUUUGGUAUGUCCAAAAAGCAGAAGGUUGGGAGUUUUAUAUUACUACAAAAGAGGAAUGUGACAUGUAUUCCAGAGAGAAAAUGUACUGUUUUUAGUAAAGCUUUGAUUUGACUCUCUUACCUGGGUCCAGCACUUAGGUGAUUUGGCUCUCUUACCUGGGUGCAAUGUUGCAGGGCCUAGGUUAUUUGACUUUCUACCUGGUCCUGGCUGACAGGUCGGAUUAUGACAUAUACAGGGGCCCAGCACCUGGGUGACUUCUACCUUGGCCAUGCCCAAAGGUGAGAUUGUGACAUAUACUUGGGCCUGGCACCUAGGUGAUUUUACCCUCAUACAUGGGCAAAGCCCACAGGGAAGAUGGUAACUCAUUUCUGAACCCAGCUCACUGGCCAUAUGAUGACUCUCAAACCUGGACCCAGCUAGUAGGAGAGAUUUUGAUUCUCAUACCUGGACUAGGAACACAGUUAAGAUCAUGAGUCUCAUAGCUAUAUGAAAGUAUCAGAGAAAAUUGUGAUUCACUUACCUACUAUAUAAAGCCCUCAAGUGGUACACAGUGUCAUAAUAGGGCCUACCUCAUAGGUCAGAGUGUAACUCUUCUAUGCACACCAAGCCAACAGCUAGUAUUGUCACACUCAUAUAUGCACACAGCCUGCUGCUGAGGUUUUUAAUCUCACAUCCAGAUGCAGUCAAAAGUUGCAAUUGUGACUCAUACAUGGAUCUGGUCCACAGGUGGAAUGGUGACUCAUUUCUGUACUAAGGCCACAGAGAGAAUUGUGACUCCCAUGCCUACUGUAUAAAGCUCUUGGGUGGUACAGAGAGUGUCAUAACAGGACCCAGCACACAGGUGAGAUUGUGACUCUGAUAUGCACAUCCAACAAACUCUUAGGACUGUCACCCUCACACAAGGACACAGCCUAUUCAGGUGAGGUUCUGAAUCUCACACCCAAACACAAUGGAAAGGCUGAUUUGACUCAUUUGGGCUGGAGGAAAUGGAAAUAACUUUUACCUCAUUUGCAUUUGUGACUUUUUCACAUAGAAAUAUUUACAAAUGGACAUUAUAGACAUUCAUAUAAUCAUGUAUGUGCAUAUGUGUAUGUGUUUAUGUACCUACCUACCUAUAUCUAUAUAUCUACCAAAACAGCCAAGCAGAAAAAAACCUAGGUUGGAAGUCAUUUUUCUGUCACUCCUCUUGAGCCCAGGUGAAUCAAUUCAGCCAGUUAGUUCAGUUAAAGUAAAUCAAAUCAGAGCCAUGCAUGGCUUCCCAAUUUUCUUGCACCUGUGAAAAUAUCCUCCCAACCUGGUACCCAAGUGUUUUAAAAUCAGGAGCUCAUCAAAUUAGCUCAGUGGGGUACUGGCCAGCCAGCUAAGACUGGGCAGAGCUGGCUGACACCAGUGGGUGUAGCAUUCAACACAAUAAUUCUUUGACUUGGCCAACACGUGUCACUUUUGGUACUUCAGUGACUGAUGAUUCUGGCCUG